rnacentral:rRNA from 1 species
AGUGAACGCUGGCGGUAGGCCUAACACAUGCAAGUCGAACGGCAGCACAGUAAGAGCUUGCUCUUACGGGUGGCGAGUGGCGGACGGGUGAGGAAUACAUCGGAAUCUACUUUUUCGUGGGGGAUAACGUAGGGAAACUUACGCUAAUACCGCAUACGACCUACGGGUGAAAGCAGGGGAUCUUCGGACCUUGCGCGAUUGAAUGAGCCGAUGUCGGAUUAGCUAGUUGGCGGGGUAAAGGCCCACCAAGGCGACGAUCCGUAGCUGGUCUGAGAGGAUGGUCGGCCACACUGGAACUGAGACACGGUCCAGACUCCUACGGGAGGCAGCAGUGGGGAAUAUUGGACAAUGGGCGCAAGCCUGAUCCAGCCAUACCGCGUGGGUGAAGAAGGCCUUCGGGUUGUAAAGCCCUUUUGUUGGGAAAGAAAAGCAGCAGGUUAAUACCCCGCUGUUCUGACGGUACCCAAAGAAUAAGCACCGGCUAACUUCGUG